AACUUUAUUUUUACUGGUGACACUAUUACAGAUAGAUAGAACGACCACAACCAUAUUAACAAACCAAAAACCUGUGCACAGAAACAAGAUGAAAAAAUUGUAUCAGCAUGUUAACCACAGCCUUUGGAUGACAAUAUGGGUGAGUCUCUCUUCUACAUUUCUGUAACUUCCAAGUUUCUAUGAUGAACACAUACUGGGGUUAUAAUGGAAAUACAUGGAAUAAAGGUAGGUCACCAAAACACUCGGAUGAAGACCGUUCCAGAAAGCCAGGACAAAAUACUUGACCAUAAACCCACAACGACCACACAACCAUUUCUCAGCUGUUUUCCGUGUUUCUUCCCGUCUUUGACACACCACGUACUCGUCCUAAACAGCCCAACAGCCAGACCGUGCACAGGUUCGAGGUGUAAACAGCAAUGGCGACAGGUGCCAGGAGCCUGGGUGCAUUUCUUUUCUUCCACUUUCCUGAAAUCUCCCCAAAGUUUGCCAUGAGUAUGUAUUGUACUUGGAAUGGAAAAAUACAUAUGCUAAGAUUGAAUACCAAACACCUAGGAUCAUUCAAGGAAUUUGAGACAAAAUAGUUAACCAUACUCCCACAACGACAACACUGUUUUAAUUAUUUUCCGCAUGUUUUUCAUUUGAGACUGUAUGCACACAUACUUCACACUGUCAUAAUCACAAGCUUGUGCACUGAAACGAGAUGGAGGAAACACAGCAAGGUGUUUGCGGCAGUUGUUAGGUGCUGGGAAUAUGGGUGACCUUUUUUUCCUUCUCUCAUUUAUUUUGAAUUUUCCAAUUUUUCCUCUGGGUGUGUGUUAUGUUUGUAAUGGAAACACACAUAAUCAACCUUGUCAUCAGGACACCGUUAUAAGGAACAUCUGAAACGGUGAGGAUGAGCGUGUUUAAUUGUAAUUCCACGAAAGUAACAGCUAUUUGAAUACACAGCUGACACAGUUAGGAUCAUAAACCUGUGCACAGAAACGAGAAUAACCCAUAUGCUGAGGAGUAUACCUGUCUUUGGAUGGUGAGUAGAUGGAUUUUUUUUUCCCUCCACUGUUCUGUAUUUUCCAAAUUAUGUUCACAAUGGAAAAGUGAUGACAGACUUUUUAGUAACGCUACCAUAUGGAACGUUCAAGGAAUUUAAGAAAAUAAUGCUCAGCUAUAAGCAACUACAACAACACCACCACAACGGCUUUUGACUAUAAGCAUACAUUUUUAAACAGGUAUAGCUGUAGUAUAAAUAUAAUUCUGCGUCCUGUUUCUUCCACUCAGUAUUCCGUAAAUAUAUUUCCACGUUGCUACAUAACUCUUCAUGAUUAUCAUUUUUAAGCAGCUGCGUACGAUUCCACAGACAUGUUCUCUUAACUGUUUUCCUAUUUUUGGCAUUUAGACGUUGUUCCUAAUUUUCACUAACCUAAGGUUGGACAGACACCCUGAUGUUUGGCAAGCUGCUUUCUGAAAAGGGUCUGCUACUUCGUGCUUCCAAGGGCGAUGCACCCGGGCUCACCCGGCCAACGCCAGCGCGGGCUCCGUUUCCCGGUCCCUGCGUCCCCUGGGUGUGGGUUCCAACCGCAGGUCUUUUUAUGCCGCUGGCCCUCAGUCACGCUGUGCCACCAACAAGGCCCCUUCUUCCAACCUGCCCGAGCUCUUGCCCGGUGGUUCCCACCCCUUGGCCUUCUGGUCCCUGCUUCUGCUGUCUCUCCUGUCAGCUUGUGAUCACAGGGGAAACUGAGGCCACCAGACAGACAAGAGGACAGCUGGGAGGAAGGGCCCGGCGGCAACAGAACAAAUUAAGGCUGCUGGGGAACCUGAGUCCAUGUGAAGCUCGAGUUGGCUGUCAAGAACUUCUUCUUCUUUUUUUUUUUUUAAAUAUAAGUUAGACACAGGGUCGAGGGUCAGGGUUGAGGUGAAGACGAGAAUGGAGUUUCACGGUACAAAGCUCUAAGGAUACUAGCUCCUGGGCGCCCAGGGUGCAAACAGACUUGUGGCAACACAGACGGACGGACGGAGCCACGUUGCUACUUGUCACUUAAGGCAGGAAGCGCACAAAGGAAGUGACGGAAUCGGCGCCUGCGUCCUUAUUUACAAGGUGGGAGCCUCCCCUGUGGUUCUCAACCUUCAUCAGGCACACUCGUGAUCUAGUGAUGGUUGCAACCCACUCUUUAAAGGCAAAGACGUAAGAUUUACAGGGAAAAGCUUCGGCUUUUGUGAAUUCACUCUCAAACACACACCAAGCUGGUUUCAAAAAAAAAAAAAAAACUUGUAAUAUUUUUGCACGAGAACCACUGCAGGCGACAAGGUGUGGCAACCACUAAAUCUGGGGUCACAAAAGGCCAAUCCACACACUGCAAAGGCGUAUACACAGGGUUAGGUUCCAAGGCGUCGGUGUAGACGGAACGGCUGGAAAGGAAGCUUCAAGCACUUCCUUUUCAGACAGCAAAGCACGAAAGAUGGCUUAUCUUUCAUGGCUACACCUUCAGAGGAAUAGUUAGCAGUGAGGCACAACACAAUCACUCAAAACGAUA
rnacentral:lncRNA from 1 species